AACUUUCAGCAACGGAUCACUUGGCUCUCGCAUCGAUGAAGAACGCAGCGAAAUGCGAUAAGUAAUGUGAAUUGCAGAACUCAGUGAAUCAUCGAAUCUUUGAACGCACCUUGCGCUCCUUGGUAUUCCGAGGAGCAUGCCUGUUUGAGUGUCAUUAAAUUCUCAACCUUAUCAGUUUAUUUCUGAUAGUGGCUUGGAUGUGGGGGUUUUCUUGCUGGCUGAGGUCAGCUCCCCUUAAAUGCAUUAGCUGGUGCCCCGUGUGGACUGUCUAUUGGUGUGAUAAUUAUCUACGCCAUGGAUGUCUGCAAUCAUAAGGGUUUAGCACUGCUUCUAACCGUCUGUUAAUUCGGACAAUACAUGACAAUUUGACCUCAAAUCAGGUAGGACUACCCGCUGAACUUAAGCAUAUCAAUAAGCGGAGGCU
rnacentral:misc_RNA from 1 species